CACGUAGGGGGGCGAGCGUUUGUCCGGAUUUACUGGGCGUAAAGAGCGCGCAGGCGGCUGGUCAAGUCCGAUGUGAAAGCUCCCGGCUUAACUGGGAAAUUGCAUCGGAAACUGAUCGGCUGGAAGGUGGGAGAGGGUAGCGGAAUUCCCGGUGUAGUGGUGAAAUGCGUAGAUAGUCGGGAGGAACACCAGUGGCAGAAAGCGGCUACCUGGCCCAUUCGUUGACGCUG
rnacentral:rRNA from 1 species